rnacentral:rRNA from 1 species
AUUGAACGCUAGCGGGAUGCUUUACACAUGCAAGUCGAACGAGUGGCGGACGGGUGAGUAAUGUAUCGGAACGUGCCCGGUAGCGGGGGAUAACUACUCGAAACGGUGGCUAAUACCGCAUACUAUUGGAGCUGCCCAUAUCGGAUUAGCUAGUUGGUGGGGUAAAGGCUCACCAAGGCGACGAUCCGUAGCUGGUUUGAGAGGAAGACCAGCCACACUGGGACUGAGACACGGCCCAGACUCCUACGGGAGGCAGCAGUGGGGAAUUUUGGACAAUGGGGGCAACCCUGAUCCAGCCAUGCCGCGUGUAUGAGAAGGCCUUCGGGUUGUAAAGUACUUUUGGCAGAGAAGCGGUAUCUGCAGAAUAAGCACCGGCUAACUACGUGCCAGCAGCCGCGGUAAUAC